CUUCAACUAAAACAUCACUUGUCUUAAAUUUCUUCCUAAAUAUAUGGAACAUCACAUUUUUCUAAACAAGUUUUAACUUCUUUGUUCUUCUCAGCUUCCCUAGUUGAAUGAAACUUAACAUGAUAUGCUUCAUCUUUCCAUAUUGGAAUUUUAAAAAAUGGAAAUUGUAGAUUUGUUGUCACAUCUGACCUUUGUGGCUUUAUGUUGUUCUACUCCAAGGUCUUUAAGAAUCUUUCUCAACCAAAUAGUUUGGUUUGCUACUGCUACAUGCUCAGCUUCAGCAGUAGACUGAGCUACAACCUCUUGUUUUCUUGAAACCCAUGAAAACAUGCCUGAUUCCGGUGAAAAACAAUAGCCAGUUGUACUCUUUAUGUCACCAAUGAUUCCAGCCCAGUCACCAUCCACAAAUUCAUCCAAGCUUCCAUUCUUCAUUGAUCUAAACCAGAUUCCAAGUUGAGUUGUCCUUUUAAAUACCUCAACACUCUUUUUGCUGCUGCAAAUGAGUUUGUGAUGGCUGCUGCACAUAAAUCUGGAAAGAAUACUAGCUGAAUAAAUUAAAUCGAAUACAUUAAAUCUGAUGUGAAUAUUCAAGGGGGAAAACCUGAUAUGUAUCUCUGCAUUUGGAAUCUUUUCAUUCGAGUAUUUUUCAAUUAAG
rnacentral:misc_RNA from 1 species